rnacentral:rRNA from 1 species
CCCGUCACACCAUGGAAGUCAGCUGCUCCAGAAGUGGCUGCGCCAACCCGCAAGGGAGGCAGGCUCCUAAGGAGUGGCUGGUAACUGGGGUG